GAAAGAGAGACGGCGAUAAGUCCAGCAGAGACAGAACCAAGCAGCUGCUCAUGUCCUGGAGAGCUGCAGGUCCGACCUGAGAUCUGCCAGCCAGUUACGCCCCUUCAUGUUUUAAUGAAACCUGGUGAGCUGAGGAACCCUGAGCUGCAGUCUGAUAGGAGGAGGGACUGUGGAGGAGAAACCUUUACCUGGAGCUUCAUUCCUGCCCGGACCGACCGGAUCGACCACACUCAGACUUCCUGUUUCCUUGCCACACAGUUGCAGUGACCAUGUCACUUUAAAAUAACCUUCCUCCUACACUGAUGUGUGUGUGUGUGUGUUAGACUGCACCUGCAGGAGGAAACCCACUGAGGAAUGCGGCUCCUUUCUGAAUCCUAAACUUUCCCCUGAAGCUACAAUGAAUCAUUUCCGUAUCGCUCCGACCUGCCGUCCAAACUGGACCUGUGAGGUGUCCCAGAUCUAAUCAUUUACCUCCUCAGAGGGUCCAAACCUGAUUAACCCUUAAACUUGUGUGUGUCUUGGAGAGAUGUGUCAUUAAAAAUAUUUUGGCUGUUAAAUUAGUGCAUCUGUGAUUUUACAGUAAAGCCCAAACAGCUGAGUGGUGAUAAAGUUCUGCCUGUAAGUAUACUGAUUAUAAGUACAGGGUUGAUCCAAACUGAUGUAAAACAGCUCAGAACAUUCUGAGAAGCCACUAAAACCAGCACAAUAAACCAGAUGGUUCUGUUGAAUCUGACCCGAGUUCUGCAGUAAAAACACACAGACCAGUCAAACCAGAACCAAGCUGAACAAAGACUUUUGUUUCACUUAUGAAAACAGAUUUCAGCUCGGUGUCGGCAACAAUUUAGCCAAUCAGAAGUAGUGUUUUUAAAGGCCGCAAUCAGAAUUAUUCAGUUCUGACCCACUUUAGGGAUUCAGUUGUGAUGCAGGUAAAAAUGUGAACCGUCCCUUUUUAAAGCUGGUGUCAAACUCCAACUUCAGCCUCCUGACCCCAGUUUACCCAGUUUGGACUAAAUGUUCUCCAGGUUUUUUUUUUAAACCCCUUAAACUGCAAAGCAAAGACUAACUCCAUCCAGACGAGCAGGUCAAAGUUCAGAGAUGUUAAACUGGAGAUGAUGUGAUGUGGUUCCGGUUCGUUAAAACAACAGAAUGUCCCUUUAAUGAAGCUUUGAAUCACAUCCUAACUUCAGCCCACUGUUGUUUAAACUCUGAGUUUAGCUCCCCAGGUUUAAACUCAGCUCCCCAGGUUUAAACUCUGAGUUUAGCUCCCCAGGUUUAAACUCAGAGUUUAGCUCCCCAGGUUUAAACUCAGAGUUUAGCUCCCCAGGUUUAAACUCAGAGUUUAGCUCCCCAGGUUUAAACUCAGAGUUUAGCUCCCCAGGAUUAAACUCAGAGUUUAGCUCCCCAGGUUUAAACUCAGAGUUUAGCUCCCCAGGUUUAAACUCAGAGUUUAGCUCCCCGGGUUUAAACUCAGAGUUUAGCUCCCCAGGUUUAAACUCAGAGUUUAGCUCCCCGGGUUUAAACUCAGAGUUUAGCUCCCCAGGUUUAAACUCAGAGUUUAGCUCCCCAGGUUUAAACUCUGAGUUUAGCUCCCCUGGUUUAAAUUCAGAGUUUAGCUCCCCAGGUUUAAACUCUGAGUUUAGCUCCCCAGGUUUAAACUCAGAGUUUAGCUCCCCAGGUUUAAACUCAGAGUUUAGCUCCCCAGGUUUAAACUCAGAGUUUAGCUCCCCAGGUUUAAACUCAGAGUUUAGCUCCCCAGGUUUAAACUCAGAGUUUAGCUCCCCAGGUUUAAACUCAGAGUUUAGCUCCCCAGGUUUAAACUCAGAGUUUAGCUCCCCAGGUUUAAACUCAGAGUUUAGCUCCCCAGGUUUAAACUCAGAGUUUAGCUCCCCAGGUUUAAACUCAGAGUUUAGCUCCCCAGGUUUAAACUCAGAGUUUAGCUCCCCAGGUUUAAACUCAGAGUUUAGCUCCCCAGGUUUAAACUCAGAGUUUAGCUCCCCAGGUUUAAACUCAGAGUUUAGCUCCCCGGGUUUAAACUCAGCUCCCCAGGUUUAAACUCAGAGUUUAGCUCCCCAGGUUUAAACUCAGAGUUUAGCUCCCCAGGUUUAAACUCAGAGUUUAGCUCCCCAGGUUUAAACUCAGAGUUUAGCUCCCCAGGUUUAAACUCAGAGUUUAGCUCCCCAGGUUUAAACUCAGAGUUUAGCUCCCCAGGUUUAAACUCAGAGUUUAGCUCCCCAGGUUUAAACUCAGAGUUUAGCUCCCCAGGUUUAAACUCAGAGUUUAGCUCCCCAGGUUUAAACUCAGAGUUUAGCUCCCCAGGUUUAAACUCAGAGUUUAGCUCCCCAGGUUUAAACUCAGAGUUUAGCUCCCCAGGUUUAAACUCAGACUAAAGCUAAACUACAGUCGCUUAAAGGUUCUCUGUUUAAAUUAAACGUGACUAACGUGUUAAAUGAAAUCAGAAACGGUAAACCUGCCGCUGUUUCCAGCGCUAUUAGCAGGCUAACUGUGCUAGCUUUACACGGACAGCCAUGUUCUCAGAUGGGCCAGCAGCUGGGGCGGACUGGGAGCUGUGGGAGCACCAGGAGGCAGCUCCGCCUGCCUACAUAUGGUAUGAGGCUUUCAGCAGCACCGGAGGCUGCUAAAAAUAGAGCCCGCUGCACAGCGCCCUCAGCCCGGUCACAGAUCUGGUUUCACCGCCGCCUCGGGUCACCUCUAGUCCCGUUUGACCCGUUCACCUCCGUCCUAACUCCCCCGGAGAGCUCCCUGACAGACCCCCACCUCACACCAGGACCUCAUCUCACCACCGGGACCGAGCCUCGCAGAAUCCAGCAUGACCUCCGCAGGAGGCCCGCUCCACCCGCAGCUUCUCCCGGCCACAUUGAAGAGACCCCGGACCAGAGAGCAGAGGACACAGUUAAGCUC